rnacentral:rRNA from 1 species
UGGGGAAUAUUGGACAAUGGGCGCAAGCCUGAUCCAGCCAUGCCGCGUGUGUGAAGAAGGCCUUUUGGUUGUAAAGCACUUUAAGCGAGGAGGAGGCUACUUGGAUUAAUACUCUAGGAUAGUGGACGUUACUCGCAGAAUAAGCACCGGCUAACUCUGUGCCAGCAGCCGCGGUAAUACAGAGGGUGCGAGCGUUAAUCGGAUUUACUGGGCGUAAAGCGUGCGUAGGCGGCUUCUUAAGUCGGAUGUGAAAUCCCUGAGCUUAACUUAGGAAUUGCAUUCGAUACUGGGAAGCUAGAGUAUGUGAGAGGAUGGUAGAAUUCCAGGUGUAGCGGUGAAAUGCGUAGAGAUCUGGAGGAAUACCGAUGGCGAAGGCAGCCAUCUGGCCUAAUACUGACGCUGAGGUACGAAAGCAUGGGGAGCAAACAGG